AUUGAACGCUGGCGGCAUGCUUUACACAUGCAAGUCGAACGGUAACAGGGAGCUUGCUCCGCUGACGAGUGGCGAACGGGUGAGUAAUGCGUCGGAACGUGCCGAGUAGUGGGGGAUAACGCAUCGAAAGGUGUGCUAAUACCGCAUACGAACUGAGGUUGAAAGUGGGGGACCUUCGGGCCUCACGCUAUUCGAGCGGCCGACGUCUGAUUAGCUAGUUGGUGAGGGAAAGGCUCACCAAGGCGACGAUCAGUAGCGGGUCUGAGAGGAUGAUCCGCCACACUGGGACUGAGACACGGCCCAGACUCCUACGGGAGGCAGCAGUGGGGAAUUUUGGACAAUGGGCGCAAGCCUGAUCCAGCCAUGCCGCGUGUCUGAAGAAGGCCUUCGGGUUGUAAAGGACUUUUGUCCGGGAGCAAAUGCCUGGUGUUAAUAGCACUGGGAGCUGAGAGUACCGGAAGAAUAAGCACCGGCUAACUACGUGCCAGCAGCCGCCGUAACAC
rnacentral:rRNA from 1 species